rnacentral:rRNA from 1 species
UGCCAGCCGCCGCGGUAAUACGGAGGGUGCAAGCGUUGCUCGGAAUCACUGGGCGUAAAGGGUGCGUAGGCGGCCUUGUCAGUCAGAUGUGAAAGCCCUCGGCUCAACCGAGGAACUGCAUUUGAAACUACAAGGCUUGAGUAUGGUAGAGGGAAGCGGAAUUCCUGGUGUAGCGGUGAAAUGCGUUGAUAUCAGGAGGAACACCUGUGGCGAAGGCGGCUUCCUGGGCCAUUACUGACGCUGAGGCACGAAAGCGUUGGGUAGCAAACGGGAUUAGAUA